GAUCCAAUCAAAGAACUUUAAGAAUUUUUGAAUUUAUUUUCUACUUUUUGUUUGAAUUUCUUAAACUUCUCAAAGGAUUCGACAUAAUUCUUAUAAGAAACACAUACCAUGCUAUGAAUAAUCAUGGUAAAGAUAAUGGAGCAAAAAAUACCAACCCUGACCUGUACAUCAAAUAGACCACACAUAUCAGUGUGUACCAGGGC
rnacentral:lncRNA from 1 species